UACGAAGGGGGCUAGCGUUGCUCGGAAUCACUGGGCGUAAAGCGCACGUAGGCGGCUUCUUAAGUCGGUGGUGAAAUCCUGGAGCUCAACUCCAGAACUGCCUUCGAUACUGAGAGGCUCGAGUCCGGGAGAGGUGAGUGGAACUGCGAGUGUAGAGGUGAAAUUCGUAGAUAUUCGCAAGAACACCAGUGGCGAAGGCGGCUCACUGGCCCGGUACUGACGCUGAGGUGCGAAAGCGUGGGGAGCAAACAGG
rnacentral:rRNA from 1 species